ensembl:lncRNA
UUAAGAGAAGCAAACUAUUGCCUUUGGAAUGGAUAAGCAAUGAGAUCCUGCCAUGUAGCUCUGGGAACUAUGUCUAGUUAUUUAUGAUGGAGCAGGAUAAUGUGAGAAAAUAGAAUGUAUACAUGUAUGUGUAACUGGGUCACCAUGCUGUACAGGAGAAAAAAAAUUGUAUUGGGGAAAUAACAAUUAAAAAAAUAGACGUAGGUCAAAUGACCGAAUGAAUAGCAACAACAUGGCUCUGGUUUAGAACUGGGAACUGAGACUGAAUUAAUUCUUCUUAAUUUAUUUUCCCACAUGCCAAUCACAUGUGCUCUGAGCCACUCUGUUCCUAGGAGUGCUGCUUGUGUCCUCCCACAGACGAGCUUCCGAGAGGAAACUGAGCUUCUGAGAAGAAAUGUGGUACCUCAAGGAUGCCCCGACGAUAUUAGAACAAGGAAGGGUGGACCUUUUACUAGUCGGUCUGCUUUUCUAUCUCCUGCGGUGAAGCUCCUGGUCAUCACCUGUCCAUGGGGCAUGGAAACUCGGAGCCGGAUAUGCGGUUGAAUCAUACGGACCGUGAAGUUGUCUAUGGUUUGCACAAAGGCAGCAGUGAAAUGAUGCUGUGACAGGGUGGGGGCACCUAUGGAUUUUUCUCAGCACUAAAGAGAGGGACUGGGGAUAAGGACUGCCCAAGUCAACAACUUGGGAGCCUGAAGGUCUUGAUAACUCUGUUCUCCAAUUUUCCCAACUGAACUGCUAUUUUGAUUUUCUUGUUUUAUGACUGUAGCAAGUUACCCACCCAUUCUGGGCCUCUGCUUAUUGUAAAAUGAGGGCAUUAGAGCAGACGCUGUCUAAUUAGAGGCAAACUAGAGACUGUCUCCAACCGUGUUUGGAUGACUGCUUCCUUCUCAAUUCCUCUCCUCCUGCCAUCUUUAUUCUUCCUCCCGCCUCACCUGUUCUGGAAUAACCUCAGGCACCUCUUAUCCAUGCUGGUGGCUUUUAAACUAAUGGGAUAGCUGAGGAGUUUUCAAACGUACCUACAUGUCAGAAUUAUCUGGGGAGCUUUGAAAAAGGAUAAUGCCCCAGCCACGCCCUUAACAAACAAUUCAGACUCUGAGGUGAGAUGCAUACCCCUCCCUUUUUAACUCUUCAGUUGAUUAAAAUGUGCAGCCCCAUUUGAGAAUCAGUGCUCUUCAAACUUUGCUUUUGAAUCACUGAGCAUCUUUCAAAUGUAGAUUCUGAUUCUAGAGUUUUGGGAGAAGGCCCGGAUUCUCCAUUUCCCAAAAGCCACUGGGUGACCUGAUGCUGUCGGUUCCUGAAUCACACUGAGUAGUGAGGGGAAAACACACUGCUGAGGACUCAUCGAAAGGAGGAAGUGCCCCGGAUUCACUGUGGGCUGUAAUGAGUAGAGCCAUUAUUUGUGUUCUGCUUCCCUGGGAGCCUCAGGCAGCGUCGUCUAGGCUGAGGCCCAGAGUUCCUGGACCAUAAAGAUGCCCGAGGAUAUGCUCCAUCUUUCCCGCCCACGCCUGUGGCACUCAUCUUUUUCUCCCAAAUUUUGCCCGUGGUUAAGUACCUAUGUUAUUGCACAUGGCGCAAAUUUGUUUCCUAACUAGAUGAUGAACAGUUUGAUUCGGUCUGCAGAGCCUGAAUCAUAAGGGCUGUCUGCGGAGUGAGUGCAGCAAUGACCCUAUUCUGAGCUGUGUCUCAUAAAGAAUACUAGCGCCCUGGAACACCACAGCCCCAGUGAAUUCUUACGGUUUCCCGCCUCUGCUUCUGCUUGUAACUGGGGUAACAGGGGUUCGUCUUUUGAAGCUCCACUCAGAAAACCUCCUCCUGUGCUUGCACUUUUCUUCCACUCUCCCUGCCUCUGUGCCACUCCAGCUCCCAAGCAACUUCCCUCAUAGACUCUAUUCUCCCCGACUGUUUGCGUGUCUGCAACUCUGGGUCAGCAGCCCUCAACGCAUUGCUCCACAUUGCUUGGCAAGGAACAGGCAUUUAUUGAAAAAAGCUCAGUGAAAUAAAAUGAAUGACUUACUGCA